rnacentral:rRNA from 1 species
CCCGGGGCUUAACCCCGGGUCUGCAGUCGAUACGGGCAGGCUAGAGUUCGGUAGGGGAGAUCGGAAUUCCUGGUGUAGCGGUGAAAUGCGCAGAUAUCAGGAGGAACACCGGUGGCGAAGGCGGAUCUCUGGGCCGAUACUGACGCUGAGGAGCGAAAGCGUGGGGAGCGAACAGGAUUAGAUACCCUGGUAGUCCACGCCGUAAACGGUGGGCACUAGGUGUGGGCAACAUUCCACGUUGUCCGUGCCGCAGC